UCCACGAAAACAAAACUAUAAGAGCUAAAAAAUUGAGCCAGAGCCAACAAUAUUGCAGAACCUGAGUGUAAAAACUAGAGAGUCAAUUUACUCUGAGCAUAGACAAUGCCAGGAUUUCAAGUUUAUGGAUUCAGGAUUCUAUCUUAUUAAGUUACUAAAUUCGAAAUUAAUAACUUGUACAUAUUUAAUGAAAAAUUUAAGACAAAUAAAUAAUUUGAACCAAAGCUAUUGGAUUCGACCGAUCCCGUAGCCGACACUGUGGUUCUGCCUCUGGCUUUGAGACUAGAUAAAAAAAUAGCAGAAUAUGAGGACGAAAUAAUCAGGCCUUGAUAGUGUAGUCACUGUCCUUAAGGAAUUUGAGCCUCCCACUUUCGUUGCUGCAAUGAUUAAGGCAGAAUUCCUUCAAGAGUUUACAAAGACAAAGAAAUUCGAGUACAAACAAUUAACUUGAAUUUUCACUUGAAGAAACUUUGUGAAUUGUAGAUAGCAGUUAGAGAAGAAGAUGGAAAUUUUUUGCUUUCUGUUUGUUUCAUUUUGGAGAGGAAAGGAGUCUAUCUGUUGAGUUCAUUACACAAAUGGUCACUCAAUUAUCCCAAAUUAUCUUCUAAAGUCACUUUACUUUUGUUUGUAACAACAAAAUCACUGAACUCUUGUGGGGGUGAGCAUGUGGAUGAAUGCUGAAACGGUGUAAUUGACAGUGAGCUUAGACCAAGACCGUGGUUGCGAAUGGGGUACCCGAAAUGGAAUCUCUAGUUUGUUUGCACAGAAGAAGAAUGUGUUGAAUCCAUACUUUUGGCAAAUGAUUAGAGAAAUUAGCAAGUUCAAGCAGGAUGUCACAAGUUAUCUUGAAGCACUUGACAACAAUCCAGACAUUGAUCGCGAUGAAACGUUAGGGCAAUUUAUUAAGUCACACGGCUAUUUAGAGUUAUUUCAGAAGGCUUAUCUGAUUCCAAUAUGCGCUUCAAUCUGGUCCUGUCCCUUAGAAGGAGUAAUGAGCUUUUCUGCUUAUUCCCUUCUUUCAUUCUUCCGUGACCACCAUCUUCUGCAGCUCUUUGGUCUCCCUCAAUUGCUCACUGGCGGUCACAUGCAUAUGUGAACAAGGUUAAGGAGGAACUGGAGAAGAGAGGCUGCCAAAUAAGAACUGGUUGUGAAGUAAAUUCUGUAUCGACAAAUGAAGAAGGUUGUACCAUAGCUUCCAAUGAUGGUGCCAAAGAAGUAUAUGAUGGAUGCAUAAUGGCUGCGCAUGCACCAAAUACUCUGAAAAUGUUAGGCAAAGAGGCAACAUACGAUGAAACAAGAAUUCUGGGUGCUUUCCAUUAUAUCUACAGGACAGUGAUAUUUUCCUUCAUCGUGACAAAACAUUCCUGCCUCGUGAACCGGCAGCAUGGAGUGCUUUGAACUUUCUUGGAACUAUGAAUAA